GCAGGAUCGGUGGACGUGCUCUGUGGUACCCCACAAAGGGCCCCGGAGAAUAACCCCUCUGUUGUCAGCGGGUUGGCAAGAGUGGUGAGGUAUACCCUUUUCCAUUGAAAGAAGGCAGUGCAGUCUUGCAUUCUCUGGAAGAUGUCACAGCAGCAUGCUUUAUGGCAGCUUUACAGCAGUUUUUCAACACUGUGAGGCAACGCGAGUGCUGGACCGCUGCCUGGCGGCUAUCAUGAACUGGAUGAGGAUCAAUAAAUUGAAAUUGAAUCCCCA